rnacentral:tRNA from 1 species
GCCCCCUUCGUCUAGAGGCCUAGGACACCUCCCUUUCACGGAGGUAACAGGGAUUCGAAUUCCCUAGGGGGUA